rnacentral:rRNA from 1 species
GGGUACACGAGUGGCGCACGGGUGAGUAACGCGUAUGCAACCUGCCCUGUACAGGGGGAUAGCCCGGAGAAAUCCGGAUUAAUACCCCAUAGUUUUUAUGAGUCGCAUGGCUUAUAAAAUAAAGUUUCGGCGGUACAGGAUGGGCAUGCGUGGCAUUAGCUAGUUGGUAAGGUAACGGCUUACCAAGGCGACGAUGCCUAGGGGUUCUGAGAGGAUGAUCCCCCACACUGGGACUGAGACACGGCCCAGACUCCUACGGGAGGCAGCAGUGAGGAAUAUUGGUCAAUGGGCGAGAGCCUGAACCAGCCAUCCCGCGUGCAGGAUGACGGCCCUACGGGUUGUAAACUGCUUUUAUGUACCAAGAAUGUGUUCUACGUGUAGGAUUUUGACGGUAGUACAUGAAUAAGCAUCGGCUAACUCCGUGCCAGCAGCCGCGGUAAUACGGAGGAUGCAAGCGUUAUCCGGAUUCAUUGGGUUUAAAGGGUGCGUAGGCGGCUAUAUAAGUCAGUGGUGAAAUGCUGCAGCUCAACUGUAGAACUGCCAUUGAAACUGUAUAGCUUGAGUGCGCCUGAGGUAGGCGGAAUGAGUAGUGUAGCGGUGAAAUGCUUAGAUAUUACUCAGAACACCGAUUGCGAAGGCAGCUUACUAAAGCGUAACUGACGCUGAUGCACGAAAGCGUGGGGAGCGAACAGGAUUAGAUACCCUGGUAGUCCACGCCGUAAACGAUGAUAACUCGCUGUUGGCGAUACACAGUCAGCGGCUUAGCGAAAGCAUUAAGUUAUCCACCUGGGGAGUACGAUCGCAAGGUUGAAACUCAAAGGAAUUGACGGGGGCCCGCACAAGCGGAGGAACAUGUGGUUUAAUUCGAUGAUACGCGAGGAACCUUACCUGGGCUUAAAUGUGGAUU